GUCUACGGCCAUGCCACUCUGAACAAGCCCAAUCCUGUCUAAUCUCAGAAGCUAAGCAGGGUCAGGCCUGGUUAGUACUUGCAUGCAAGACCACCUAGGAAGACCAGGUGCUGUCGGUG
rnacentral:rRNA from 1 species